AUCCAUGGGCUGACGAGUCCCAAAUAGGACGAAAUGCGCCUUCUGGAU
rfam:Trichobilharzia regenti genome assembly, scaffold: TRE_scaffold0005416